rnacentral:misc_RNA from 1 species
ACGAGUUAGGGUCUUCUAGGCCCGAUCUCCCAACCCUUUGCUUACUGAACCUCUUGUUGCUUCGGCGGACCCGUCUCACGACCGCCGGAGGACUGCCGAAAGGCGCCCUCUGGCCAGUGCCCGCCGAUAGCCAACCUCUUAACACUCUGAAUAAAUCAUGUCGUUAUGUCUAAGUCUUAUUAAAUUAAAAGCA